rfam:Alicyclobacillus acidoterrestris ATCC 49025 contig_79, whole genome shotgun sequence.
GUCGAAGUGGCGGAAUCGGCAGACGCGCACGUUUGAGGGGCGUGUGGGGAAACCCGUGCGGGUUCAAGUCCCGCCUUCGACA